rnacentral:rRNA from 1 species
GUACGGGAGGCAGCAGUUAAGAAUCUUGCGCAAUGGGGGAAACCCUGACGCAGCGACGCCGCGUGGACGAUGAAGGCCUUCGGGUUGUAAAGUCCAAUAAGCAGGGAAGAAUAAGCAACGGGUAAUAUUCGUUGUGAUGACGGUACCUGCCUAAAGCCCCGGCUAACUACGUGCCAGCAGCCGCGGUAAUACGUAUGGGGCUAGCGUUGUUCGGAAUUAUUGGGCGUAAAGGGCGUCUAGGCGGGGGAUUAAGUUGGGUGUGAAAUCCCUGGGCUCAACCCAGGAACUGCAUCCAAAACUGGUUCUCUUGAGUUCGGGAGAGGAGAGCGGAAUUCCCGGUGUAGCGGUGAAAUGCGUAGAUAUCGGGAAGAACACCAGUGGCGAAGGCGGCUCUCUGGCCUAGAACUGACGCUGAAGCGCGAAAGCGUGGGGAGCGAACGGGAUUAGAUACCCCAGUAGUCC